rnacentral:rRNA from 1 species
GAUGAACGCUGGCGGCGUGCCUAAUACAUGCAAGUCGAGCGAACGGACGAGAAGCUUGCUUCUCUGAUGUUAGCGGCGGACGGGUGGGUAACACGUGGAUAACCUACCUAUAAGACUGGGAUAACUUCGGGAAACCGGAGCUAAUACCGGAUAAUAUUUUGAACCGCAUGGUUCAAAAGUGAAAGACGGUCUUGCUGUCACUUAUAGAUGGAUCCGCGCUGCAUUAGCUAGUUGGUAAGGUAACGGCUUACCAAGGCAACGAUGCAUAGCCGACCUGAGAGGGUGAUCGGCCACACUGGAACUGAGACACGUUCCAGACUCCUACGGGAGGCAGCAGUAGGGAAUCUUCCGCAAUGGGCGAAAGCCUGACGGAGCAACGCCGCGUGAGUGAUGAAGGUCUUCGGAUCGUAAAACUCUGUUAUUAGGGAAGAACAUAUGUGUAAGUACCUGUGCACAUCUUGACGGUACCUAAUCAGAAAGCCACGGCUAACUACGUG